CGCCGAUGGACCACCGCUCGCAGCGCGCUCCCUCCUACUCGAACCUCUUCAAUCUUGAGUCUUUGACGAACUUUCGACUUCCCUGUCCGGACGAUGAUCGCGAUACCUAUAGCAAUAAUAGUCACCAUGAGAGCAGAAGUAGUCAAGACGAGGGGACCAUACGGGAUCGUUAUAACGGGGCCAUCACGAGUAGGUCUUCGGAACGUGCAAG
rnacentral:misc_RNA from 1 species